UAUUACUGUUGCAUAAAGGGUCGUUAAACAAUGUCGCCUGGGUCUAACCGGCCAUAUAGACGAUUAAUAGCCCUUCACUCACCUCCGUGCAUGAAUGAACAUUACGCACGGUGCGCCCGCAAUACCCCCAAAAUUACCCCCGAUGAUCAGUCAGUGUCAAGGUUAACCAGUGAGAGUUCUGUGUCUGGAGAAAGAAGGUCAAGCCAAGUACGUGUUCAGCCGCAACAAACAGGACCUCUAGACUUUCGCUGGACACCACGUACUACCGAGGGAUAUUAUACACCUUGGAGCUCAGGGGCAUUUAUUCAGGCCGGGGGGUGUGUUGCAUAAAGGGUCGUUAAACAAUGUCGCCUGGGUCUAACCGGCCAUAUAGACGAUUAAUAGCCCUUCACUCACCUCCGUGCAUGAAUGAACAUUACGCACGGUGCGCCCGCAAUACCCCCAAAAUUACCCCCGAUGAUCAGUCAGUGUCAAGGUUAACCAGUGAGAGUUCUGUGUCUGGAGAAAGAAGGUCAAGCCAAGUACGUGUUCAGCCGCAACAAACAGGACCUCUAGACUUUCGCUGGACACCACGUACUACCGAGGGAUAUUAUACACCUUGGAGCUCAGGGGCAUUUAUUCAG